AGUGCCCGACCGGCCCAUUCGUGUAUCUAAUCUGGGGAUCUCAUCAUUUUGUUUCCUGUUCUCUAUUCUUGAGUCCUAGAAGCCGCGAUCGGUGUUGCUGGAUGGAGUUAAGCUCGAUCUUCUCUCAAUCUUGACCGGUUGUUCCAGAAUUAUGCAUAGAUUCUGCAAGUAUGGAAGGUUGGCAUGAUGGGUUUCUGAUAUCAGGUGCGGUAGAUACUUACUGCGAGAGUCGUGGGUCCAACAUGGGAAGAAAGGUUCUGCUUUACAGGUCCGCCAGUUCGGAACUCGUCACUUGGUGUGAUUUGCCAGAAACCAACAGGUGGGUUGGAGCAUAUCCAACCAUGAACCUUGUUAUCCUUAUUAUCGAACGAGUACUGGCAACUCGGUGAAAGUCUCAACAUAACAAUUUAUCGUCUAUAAUUUGAUGAAGACUCCAAAGCCAGAAGGAUCCUGACGUAGCCUUCCACGAAUAUCAUACAACCAACAAAGAAGAGAAUAGAUGUGGUUUAACCGGCCAAAUCUGAUUCCCUUAAGUGAAAAGAACAUACAUGUCAGAACAUAACUGUUUGUCCAGACAUAUUCUCUGAUCAGUCUAGCUGCUCAUCUCGUAGGAUGCUGCAGAAUGAUGAACAAAUGUUGCCAGGAAGCCGGUAUCAAGGUUGGUGAAAUAGGUUUAAGAACAGAGUUACUUCACCAAAACAUAAAGAUUUAAUUAUCUCUCUCUAUGUUAAUAAUACAAUCACACAAAUUUUGGUACCACUAAUCAGCCUAAUCAAAUAUUCUCAAGAACACAUUUUAUGAGUUACAGUUUUUGUGUAUGAGUUUUAGUUCUUGUGUAUUCAUUAAAAGCGACUUUGUGGAAGAAGCCAUGGAAGAAUUAAUAACCAGUAUAAUUCUUGUAUGCAAAAUCUGACAGUUCCAUGGGAGGUGUAUAAUACACUGGCACACAUUUUCCCUGGUAAAUUAGGCAACGUUGCUUCUUGAUUUAGUACUUGAAUUGCUUGCUUUGUUGAA